UAGGGAAUCUUCCACAAUGGACGAAAGUCUGAUGGGGCAACGCCGCGUGAGUGAAGAAGGGUUUCGGCUCGUAAAGCUCUGUUGGUAGUGAAGAAAGAUAGAGGUAGUAACUGGCCUUUAUUUGACGGUAAUUACUUAGAAAGUCACGGCUAACUACGUGCC
rnacentral:rRNA from 1 species